UUUUGAUUUAAAUUUCUGGGUGAAGUAAAUGGUUUUAAUGGAGAUAUCUCUUGCUUGUGAUGUUGUGAUUACCAAGAAUAGAGACUAGGGCCAUGCUCAAGAAUGUUCUUGAAGGGAAAUUGAAGAUUUGUGUUUACGAAGGUAUAUGAGCUGCUGGAAUUUUUGUUGAAGUUGGAAAUUUGGUGGAAAUACACACAGUGAAUCAGGUGAAUUAAAAAAAAAUCAUCAUCAAGGAGGCAAGGAAAGUAAUAAAGCUUUCAAGGGUGACUAGUUGACCGGUGGAUUACG